UACGUAGGGUGCGAGCGUUGCCCGGAUUUAUUGGGCGUAAAGAGCUCGUAGGUGGUUCGGUAAGUCGGGUGUUAAACCCCCAGGCUCAACCUGGGGACGCCACUCGAUACUGCUGUGACUAGAGUCCGGUAGGGGAGCGUGGAAUUCCUGGUGUAGCGGUGAAAUGCGCAGAUAUCAGGAGGAACACCAGCGGCGAAGGCGGCGCUCUGGGCCGGUACUGACACUGAGGAGCGAAAGCGUGGGUAGCAAACAGG
rnacentral:rRNA from 1 species